AAAUAAGUUCAAAAUACAAAGUUUGUGACUAGUAAAAAUUUGAAUACUAAUUAUUUAAAUGAGCUGGGACUAAAACUUCUUGAAAGUUGAAUGCUAUUAAAUAUUUUAUUAAAAUACAACUGUAAUUCCAGCAGUUCACAGCCACAUAGUUAUCGAUGUGUAGAAUAGCAACAUACUUCAUAUGUUUAAUCUACAGAAAUAUGCAUUUAAAUAUACACAUAUCUGAAAAUUAUAAAAUGAGACUUAGCCCUUUCUAAAAAAGAUUUAUUUGUAUUUUAUGUGUCUGGGUUUUUUGACUCUGUGUGUAUAUGCACCACAUGUGUGCAGUGCUUAGAGAAGCCAGAAGAGGGCAGUAGCUCUCCUAGAAUCGGAGUUAAAGAUGGUUGUGAGCAGCCUCAUGGGUACUGAGAAUCAAACCCAGUUCUUUUACAAGAGUAUCGAGUGCCCCCAACUGCAGAGCCAUCUCUCCAGUCUCACUCCUUAGCAUUCAUAUACAGAUGUGAACAGUUUUGGGAACUCACAUAAUGGCCACAAAGAGAAGAGUUUGGACUGACUGGAGUGUCCUGUGCUAUAUUAUUCCAGAAUCUUCCAGCUUCUGUCAUUUUAAGAGACGAAUUUGGCAAAUUAAUAACCAUCCAUUUACUUUCAUACUGAACACUUCAACCAGUGAGACCCCAGCUGAUUACAAGCUGAUAUUCUCUAACACCGGCAGCAGCACCUCUCUGAACCUUGGUCCUUUCAGUUUAUAGGCAAGCAUAUAAAGUAACGCUUCCCUGGGAGGGUGUGGGGCAUAGGCUUGGGGUGGCAGGCUGUGCUGAACCACACUGUGUGCCAACACCAGUGACCAUGUGACCUUUCAUAGACUUGCUUUUCCAAAUCUGCGACACACAGCACACUCUGAAGCAGAAGGCCAAGCACAGAGUUUCCCUCUGCCGGGGUCUAAGGGCCAGGCCCUGUUCUAGGCUCUCGGAAUAGAGAAAGUAAGGUACUGCUUGUUGCCUGGGGCAAUUUACAAAAUCUCCUGUUCGCACCACUUGUUCACAGGUCCACCUUUCCAGGUGCUGGCUGGGGAGGCAUUUCCUCUUCACCAUCUUCACUUGCUUCCCCAGAGUUUCUAGCUAGCAGAUAGUCAGUGAACAGUUGACUGGGGGUGGGGGGAGGUUACAAAACACCACCUAAAAGUUCUCAGGAUCUGCCUUCCAGUGGCACUCCUCUUCGACACCUCCCCCCCCAACAAACAGAUGAUAUCGCUUCAUUUGCAUUCUUGUGAAUUCAGUUUAGAAAAGAAAAACACAGGAUUCAUUUAUGCAUAAUCUAGUUGUCAUUUCUGUGUGCGAUGCGUACAUGUAUGUGGGUCCAUGGACAGUCUGUGUGGAGGGCAGAAGUGGAUGUCGGUUGUCUUUCUCUGUUGCUUUCCAUCGUAUUUAUUGAGACAGGGUCAUUGAACCUGGAGGUUAUUGAUCUGGCCUGGCUGACUGGCCAGUGAGCUCACUCGUACCCAGCCUCCAUCCCUGCCCCACCCUCCCAGCCAGCGAGUUACGCUCCUGCCUGGCUGAGUCCUAGGGAUGAAGCUGAGGUCCUCGAACUGGCGUGGCAGGCAUUUUACUGAGCAGAGCAGUCUCCCCAGCCCUUCCGAUUGCCUUUUUUGAGGGUAAUUGGAGUUGAGAAGGAAUCCGCAGAAGACAAGCAGACAGUAGGGAAAGGUUAAGGAAGAGAACGGCAGAGCACUCGGGACCUGAAGUUGCAUUUCUGGAGCCUCUGGGACGGCUCGCGCAGGGAGGCACAAGGUGGAUUCUGUACAAAAACGGAAGAGAGGCCUCUGAGGCCUGGAGCUGGGGGUCCCUGCCCAAGGACAAUGGGGGUCACCCCAGGAAGUAGAACGUUGAAAAGUGGCUUGGGGCUUCAGGUGGUACUGUGUUUAAAAAACACAUAAGGCGGUGGCCAUUUAGAAUAGAAACCUGGAAAAGAAAAAUGUCUGUAAAACCAACACGUUUCAAAGGACAGAGGAUGGAGAUUCUCGAAGUUUCUAGAGAGCAGGUGCUAAUAUUAUUAAACAUAAUUAUAAAUGUUUAGUGAGUGCUUACUGUGUGCCAGAGCGUGCGAAGUGCAUCAUGCUAUUAGCAUUUAAUCUACAUAAUAACCCCUGACGUAGGCACUGUAAUCACUCCUUACAGGUGGAGACGAAACAGAGAGGGCAGGUGACUGAGCCAAGGAUGUUCAGCUGGCAACUAGAAGAGGUAAGAUUUGAACUCAAGAUAGCCCGUUUCCACAGUGCAUCUCUUUUAACCUCAAAGCUGCUUUGUCUUUCUGAAGAAGGUUGCCAUCAUUUUCUUAGUAGACAUAAGCACGUUCAUGAGCUCUUUCAAAGGCCUUUUCUCGGUGCAGAUGUAAUUCCCUAGUGGCUCCUUAACCUGCUCAAGUAAAAGUUAUAGCAAGAGGCUCUUUAUUAGAAAAACAAAAACAAGAAACAAAACAAAAACCCUUUGAAUGGGGAGCAGGAUACUAAAACCUAAAUUCAAAGCUGAAUCAAACGCCUCUUAUUUGAAAAAUAAAGUUGCGACUGGACAUAAACUUCAAAGACAAAGCUCUCAAAUGACUAUGGAUUUUAAAAUUCAUUUAAAAAAGAAAUAUAAAAUAACAUCUUAGCAUAAGUGGCCUAUGAAAAAGUAUGGUAGAGACAGAUGCUCAUAAAAACUCCCUCUCUGUCCACUACUAGGCACUUGUAACCAGGAACCAGCUAAUCGCCUUGCCAGGGACUGUGUAUCCCACAAUGCCUUGCAGUAAGGUAUGUGAGUCGUGGUUUAGAGAAACUGCACAUCAGGAUAGAGAUAAAUACAAUGGUCCAGAGGUUACAGGAUCACAGAACAAAGGGAUCCCUGAAUGUAUGGAUGGAGGAGAGCUCCCUUGACAACUUGAAUUUAUUCCCAGGAAUAUAUAGAUCUAUUUGAUAUGGUAAUCUUCCUAAGGCAAUGCAAUAUAAUUUUCUUUAUCCACUCGCAUGUUAUGAGACUGACACUUCUUCUGACACAGUGACAAGUGCACCAUGGUACUUGUUAGGCCCGUGUCUGCAUCAGCUCUCCCACGACUAUCAGUAGACAGACCUUCAUAUCGACGGGGCAAACGCUUCAUCGGCCACUACUAAGGGGAGGUAGCAGAUACCAUGGGGGCUCACCUGCUUCCUCACACCCACACCACCACUUUGGUGUACACGAAGAAGCUGCUUUCACCAUGGUGCCUGUAUCUCUUUGGCCUCUGAGGCUCGCACUUCAGAUUGUGUGGCAGGCCAGACGUGGCCUCGUACACUGCACAGUCCUCAGCUAGCGAUAGGAAUUGUGGUGGUUCCUGGAGGAGGCUGGUACCAAGUUAUGAGAUCCCAGAACGCAUGCUUCUUCCUAAUUCCACAGUGCAUACAGCAGAAGUUGGCAGACAUUGUGAAUCAGAGCUCCCCCGCCCUCUCUCAGAGCUAGCUGUUAAAUAUUGACCAGUGUGUGCUGGCUCUGUUAUCCCGAUGGUGAGAUAAUUCAGGGGUGUGUUCUACAAUGCCUUCCAGCCACCCCCCCUCUCUCUCUACACACACACACACACACACACACACACACACACGCACGCACAUUUUUCUUUUAAAUCCAAGCAGGAUUAAGCUACAGUCACCCAUGGUGGUGGCCAUCUUGGACAGUGAGCUUUUCUUAGCUCUCUUCUCUGCCCUUGUUCUCUACUCUGCUGUCACUUUCUGUCCCUUGACAAGAAUCCUGUAUCACAGUCUGCAUUUGGGAGAGCUCACUGCAGGAGAAGAGACAGUAAUCUAUAAAGUCACAGUUAUAAAAAGUGCAUACACAAAGCCAUCUAACAAAUACAAGCUCUUCUGAUGACCAGACAGGUAAUUAACUACAGAAUGAUUGCUAACUAGCCAGAGAUUAGAAUAUUGCACUUAAAAUUCAGUUCUUAUAAAUAUGUGAAUUGCCUUCAAUGGCUUUUAAUUUUUAUUAUUUUGAAUACUUACAUGAUACAUUAAAAUGGAAGUCUCUAGUCUUUGCCCCAUCCAAACAGAUAACGCAUACUCUGGCAAGAUGUCAACCUCCAUGUGUCAUUUGGCUGGAAGAUGGGGACUUCUAAAGGCUUUGAGGUCUCUGGUGAGCUUUGCUUAUUGGUCCUGGUCUGCGUUAACAACUCUGUUAUUUGUUUUUAAAUACUGUGUUGACUUUGUAUUUUGUCAUGUUUGUAAAGUGACACGUGCCAGGAUCCCAUGAUGCUGUAAUGAGACGGAUUCCUUAGGAAGUGUUGCCACAAACACAACAUUGCAAAGAUAAAAGGCAGAGUGUGGAGAGAUUUGCUCUACAAAAAAUGGUUCUUUAGGAUACCUUUAUGGUGAAAUUAUAAUAAUUUCACUUUCUUGUGUUUAAUAGUAAGUGACAUACGCUAUUGUUUGGAUCCUCACAGUCUUAUAUCUUAAAGGCUUGGUCCCCAGCCUGCUUGUAGUGCUUCUGAGAGAGGAUGAACCCUUUAAGAAGGAAGUUAGGUCUUUGUUCCCACAAAUACUACCUUUGUAGGGGAUAUUGGGAUCCUUCUGCGUUUGCUUCCUGUCACCAUCAGGUGAAAAGGCCUCCCCAGCACAAACAGGGUAGUAGCCAUGGAUCGAAACCUCUGAAAAUGCAAGUGGAAACAGAUCCUUUCUGGUAUUCCCUGAAUGUGUCCAGUACUUUGUCCUAGCAGUGGAGAGGCAAGAGAUACAAAGUCUCAGCAGUUACCAGCUGCGAAGAGGUUGAGGGAAAACAAAACAUCAGUUGCAAAGAAAAGGCAACAACAUGAUUUAGCAAGGAAAGCAUCACCCAAGACCGAGGCUCAGCAGGUGGGGCCACCAGGGCAGUGAGACCUGGAACAUUCAGGCCUCCGUGUUCUCACUACACCUUCCAAAGUCUGGGCACUGAGCUAGACGUACGCUCAUUUCAGCACUGUUCAGCACUGUCGUUUUAGGGAAAUCUGUCAACAUGAACAAAGGCCCACAUUUUAACUACAAACCACAAUUCACUCGUCCGGUCUGAAUCUCCCAUCUGAAUCUUUCAGGGCCUGGACAGGCGAAGACACCUAGUCCCCCGUUUCCCUGCUAGCUUCACUCUGAGUGAAACCCAGAAAAGAAGGCUUUCAUUUGGGAACCAAAAGGGGGCGACAGGGUGUUCGAAAGUUUUCAGUAUCAGAGAAAUUCCUAAUCCGAUUGGAUUUUGAGACCCCAGGCUGAUCUCAAAGUUGAAAUAGAGCCCAAGCCAAACUUGAGUUUCUAAUCUUCCUGGCUUGACAGGACUGAAUCAGUACAUUUUUACAAUUGCAUUUAACUGGUGUGUGUGUGUGUGUGUGUGUGUGUGUGUGCACGUUUGCCUAUGUGACACAGUGCACAUGUGGAGGCGAGAAGACAACAUGUAGAACAAGGGUUUUGCCUACCAAGUGUGUUCCACGGCCUGAAUUGAAGUCCUCAAGCUUGCUGACAAGCUCCAUUGAACUGUCCCACACCUAGCUUUUUAAAACCAAUUAUUUAUUUUGUUUGUGUGUAUGUAAGUAUGUGUGGUCUAUGUGUGUGGGACUUACGUGUGUAUGUGUGCAAGUCUGUGUGCACAUGAAGGCCAGAGGAGGAUAUCUUGUGUCCUGUGAUUGCCCUCUACUUUACUCACUUGAGACAGGCUUUCUUACUGAGUGAACCUAAAAUUAGGCUGGUAACCAGUAAGCAUCCUCCUGUCUCAGCCCCGUACCCCAGCACUGGGGCAAUAGCUGCUUGAGUGACCAUACCCAUAUCUUUCUGUGGGUUCUGGGGACAUGAAUUUGAGCAUGUAUAACAAGUGUUCUUAACUGCUGGGCCAUGUCCCCAGACCCUUCUCUGCCAUUUUAAGAUACAAGAUCUUUCUCUGUAGCCUGACAGGCUGCAUAGGAACUCUUGGCGAGCCUCUGAUCUUAGCUGAGUGCUGGAAUUGCAGAUGGACAACCAUGCCUGGAUUAAAAAAAUAAUAAUGAUUUCCAAGAUGGGAAGCAAACCAGUCAUUGAAACAGCAGCUCUAAAACUCAAGUUCUCUUUGCAGAGUUCUCUCUCCCACUUCACACAUACUUCUGACCAUUGAGGAUUGCAGCUGCUGCAGUCGGUGAUGUCAUGGUGCCGCUGGGCUAUGUUGUAAUAGAUUAUUUCGUGAUGUCACAUCGGUGAGCUCCAUUCGUGCCUCAGUGAAUCAAGUGGAGAAAGGCACCCACUUUUUGCAAUGAGCCUCUACAUGCAUGUAUACCCAUGUGCAUCCACAUCUCACACACUUGGAAACACACAUCUAUAUACCCCAACACAGAGAUACAUAAAAAAAAUAUAAACAUUGGACCCAGUAGAGGAGCCUUGGAAAUUUCUUUUUAAGAUUAUUCUAAACCACUUUUGAGAUCUCAGAGGUUCCUAACAUGAGAUCUGGGUGUUUCCAUGACUGUAGCUACCGUUUGUAGUUAACCUAUGAAAAAUAACUAUUUCUCCUGAAGUUCGUGUUAACCAUGGUCAAGUUCCUAUUUUAGGUUCCACGCCUCAGGGUGGUGAGGAACUCAAGUUCAGUUAUGCUAACUGCCGGGUACACAGCAGAGUGUUUCUAGCAUCUGUGUGGUCAAAGUAUAAUAAUGUUGCUUUUUAGAUGUUCCUGUCUUAGGACUUGCGCUCUCCCAGGGGUCAAGGGAGAAGAUAGCCUCAGCUUUGCUCACUCGGAACCCCCAGCCGGGACCUGUCUCAGUUGCUUCCCUCGUCCAUAGUUGAAGCCCAUGAGUGCUCUGUAGUUGGGGCUUAUGGAUGAUGAACCUGUCAUACAGAAUCCGUUGGAACCUGCUCAGAUGGGUCCUGAGAGUUUAAAACAACAAUACUACGAAGAGAGAGCUGGCCCAAGAACAGACUUGAGGAAGAAGGAAAAAUCCACAGCCACUACAGAGAGCCUUUUGUUCACCAGAGUUGACUCAGACAAUUCCAGAAAGGGGCACCUUGCUGAUUAUGGCUGUCCCAGAAGGAAGCAGCCAGGACAUCUCCAUAUGGAGGGAAAGAUGGCUUUUAUGUAGAACCAAAAUGAAAGACUUUGCUUGUAGAGUCAACUGUAAUAAGGAACACAACAGCCAGUACACAUAAAAUAAAAAUAAGUAUGAAAAAAGAGAGGUGAAUAUUGGAACAGACUGAGAUAUGGGUGAAUGUUAAAUGAUCUUGCAGUUUCAAUAGCUUGACGAAACAUAGCCGUCCUGGAAGUGAAACUUUACACCCUGUGUUAACAACAUCUUAACCCAGACACAUAGGCUACAGUUGCGAUGUGGUCUCCAGAGCGUGAGCACGGACUCUCUGUGGGCUUUACUCUCUCAGGAGAGGAAGCACAGGCCCCCACGAGCCGCCUCGUAUCUCUCUUCUUUCAUCUUAGAACCUGAAGGGGCAGGAUCCUCACUUGGAGCCUGAAGCUAUCCAUGGCCGUUUCUCCCUUGUGCUGGCUAAACAACAGACUGAGGUCUGAAGGGGAAGGGAAGUCGGAAUAUUUUUGUUAAUGGGGAGAAGUCCAGUUCUAUUUCAAGUAUAUUAAAUUUUCGCUGUGUGUUUAGUGAUUUUGGUUAAAUUCUUCCAUGUACCCAGUUUUCAAUUUUUUUUCCUUCUGGGGUUUGGAGAGUCGACUCAGUGGUUACAAUCGUUUGUUGCUCUUGUAGAGGACUAGAGUCUAGUAGGGAGUCCACCAAGAGGGCAGCUCACCACUACCUGGAACUCUAGCUUAGAAGCUCUGAUAGCUUCUUCUUCCCCAACACCCUCUCUGUCUCUCUCUGUCUCUCUGUCUCUGUCUUUCUCUCCCUUACACACACACACACUCACACACAAUUAAAAAAAAUCUCUUUCUUUCACCCAACAGCCAUUCAACAAUACCUACUGAGAGCACUUAUGUAGGUGCUCAGCGUAAACCUGGUCUGUGUUCCAAAGGCCUUUACAGACUAGCAGGGGAGACACACAUUUGAAACAACAAAUACAACACGGAAAGAGAAUUGUCAUCACCCAGACACUAUGGGAGCCGGUGGGCAUGAAGCCUUUGACCAGCUGGUGAGCUGGUUAGCUUGGGGACCAUUUACUGGGGUCCCAGGUUCGGGUGAUAGUAUCUGCCUGGACGGAAACCCUUUCUUUACUCUUUUGUAAUUGUGUGGCUUCGGAUAAAUCAAGAGACCACCUGGCCUCCGAUGUCAUCAGCUGAGGAAGGGACAUAAUAAAAAGGCCAUUACUAGGAUCAAACAAGUUAAUGUGCUGGGAGCGCCAGAAUUACUAAUAUCUAGCAGUUAACGUGAAUGUUAACUAUGGUUAUUCCCUCUUAUUUUCAAAUGACUACAGAGGGAGAUCUACACUUAAUCCAUGUGGGGUAGGAAGAAUAU